UUUACCGCACCCCGCGGAGGGAGGGAGGCGGGUGCGGCGGGCAAGCGGUAGCCUGCCGACGCAAACGUGAGCGCGUAAAAGGCGGAACCGGCAGGUUGUAUUACUCGAGCUUGCCUGGCGCACGACGGACGACGCACGCAGAGCAUUCAAAGGUGGGUGAUGCAAGAGGCGGUGCUGAGGGGUCGAGAGUUUAAGGAGUUUGGUACCGGCGGCGCCGGAGUGCCGUGGAGACGAGGCGGUGCCGCGACGACAGAGGGAGGCGGCGGCGGCGCGGGUAGGCGGUCUCCCAGCCAAUGCCGAUGCCGAGGAGGAGGCGGGCGGCCACCCGGGUGGCCGGCCUGCGGCGCAGGGCCUAGGCCGCGGACUGCUGAGCGAGCUCCUGUCGCUCCCACUCGACGCGGAUGAGGUGGCCGCGACUUCGUUAGUGACGUACAAGGACCUUGGUUUUACAGUAUACGUCACUACAUGGACACGAACACCUCAAAACCCGGAGUACCACACCUGGAACAUUUUACCAGGUAGCUUAACAGCUGCUCUAACGCCCGCUCAUGCGACCUUCCUAUUUUACGAUAUUCGAACUGUGACUACUAAUGGGUGUUUGACGUUUGAGGAUGUUAUAGCUCUCCCAAGGCUGACAAAAUGAUAAGUUCCUACCUCUCUUUUAUGUAUCAUAAUGACCUUGAGACGGUUUUCGGCAAAUACACUCCCGGUAACUCUUAAGAAAGAACGUUGUCACUGGUAAAACCAAUGUUGCAAUAUAACAAUGAACCAGGUCUAAGUAUAAGGGUAUAUGAACUAAAAAGUGACGGUCGAUCACCUUUCUCAUCCCUUCCAUUUCAACCUCAAUGUUGAACUCGAAGAACAAUAGGGAAUCGAUGUGUUGAAUGACAUUUAUAAGUACAUGAAGACUUUUUUUUCCUAACGACCUGGAGAAAUAAAAUGGAACUCCCAACAUUACUUAGUACUAACAAUAGUAACUACAGUUUGGUUGUCCCAGCUUAUAAAUUCCGGGAAUCUCUAUAGAACAAUUUACUCCAGUUCAAUUCUAAAAAGAAUAUGAAAUGAAAUACACGGAGUGUAGUACGUGGCCCGACGGGAAAAAAAAGAAGAAGAAAACGUGGGGAAUACAUAAUUUUAAAGGCACGAUAAAAAGUCUCGAUCUCAUUUAUGAAUUAGUAAAUCAAGGACAUAUGUCUUCGUAGAUUCUAGAUUGAUAACUUAAAAUAGAAGACUUUUCCAAAGAGAGACAAUACAGUCACGUUAACAACAAAGACACCCAGACGAUUAUGACUCGAUUAACAGGGUCUUGAAGAAGAAUAAUGGGAAAUCGAACGGAUCCUACAUUAGAAAUCGAGAGGAACCCGACUGUUUCUUCUGGGUGUGUGAUUCCAUUUUCGACUCUUUCUUUUUAUCAAAUCUAAUCCACGUCCUUAUAACAAUUCAUGAAACCGUCCGCCAUAGUUGUCUGACCACGGUACCUAAAAAUUAGAAAGGUACGACUUCUGAUCACGUAUCGUUCACCGAGGCUCACCGGACUCACCUUGGUUACAUCGUGUUCAACGUCGACGAGGAUGUCACCACGACAACCGAUCACCGAUGUAGGUAAAUGGCACAGAAAGUCUCAAACUCGAUACAUCUUAUCACUCCUCCAUAUCGUGUCAUUAUACUAGCCUUAAAGGCCGCUAGUGGUCUUACAAGUCCAUGUGGAUUUACGUCGACUUUGUGUAGUUCACGGUGUACUACCUCUAGUUUCAAGACCCUAGCAGACUACUGACGAACUGAAUUUAGUUAAACGUCUGUGGUUACCACUACCCCGACGUGAUCUCUUAUAAAAACGACUUCAAAGAUAAACACUUUGAUACUCGGAUAAAAGAGGUUGCCAUAAGUCAAACCUCGAGACUUCAACACACCCGAAAUAAAUUUUAAGUCAGAUUACGAUGUGCACCAAAGUUUCCAUGACCUCACUUCGAAAUCUGCGUCCACCACAUACACCACGAAUGUGAAAAAAAAGGGCCUAAAUCCUGUACCUAGUAGGUAUACAUAGCAUUUUUAGUAGGUGAAACGGGAAAAGACUUCAUAAUAAACAUUGACAGUACCUUUAUAGUUAUUGUAGACCUUUUCGU
rnacentral:rRNA from 1 species